AUUGAACGCUGGCGGCAUGCCUUACACAUGCAAGUCGAACGGCAGCACGGGAGCAAUCCUGGUGGCGAGUGGCGAACGGGUGAGUAAUGUAUCGGAACGUGCCCAGUCGUGGGGGAUAACGUAGCGAAAGCUACGCUAAUACCGCAUACGAUCUAUGGGUGAAAGCGGGGGAUCGCAAGACCUCGCGCGAUUGGAGCGGCCGAUAUCAGAUUAGGUAGUUGGUGGGGUAAAGGCUCACCAAGCCGACGAUCUGUAGCUGGUCUGAGAGGACGACCAGCCCCACUGGGACUGAGACACGGCCCAGACUCCUACGGGAGGCAGCAGUGGGGAAUUUUGGACAAUGGGCGCAAGCCUGAUCCAGCAAUGCCGCGUGCAGGAUGAAGGCCUUCGGGUUGUAAACUGCUUUUGUACGGAACGAAACGGCGAGCUCUAAUACAGUUUGCUAAUGACGGUACCGUAAGAAUAAGCACCGGCUAACUACGUGCCAGCCGCCGCCGUAA
rnacentral:rRNA from 1 species